rnacentral:rRNA from 1 species
UUAAGCGACUAAGCGUACACGGUGGAUGCCCUGGCAGUCAGAGGCGAUGAAGGACGUGCUAAUCUGCGAUAAGCGUCGGUAAGGUGAUAUGAACCGUUAUAACCGGCGAUUUCCGAAUGGGGAAACCCAGUGUGUUUCGACACACUAUCAUUAACUGAAUCCAUAGGUUAAUGAGGCGAACCGGGGGAACUGAAACAUCUAAGUACCCCGAGGAAAAGAAAUCAACCGAGAUUCCCCCAGUAGCGGCGAGCGAACGGGGAGCAGCCCAGAGCCUGAAUCAGUGUGUGUGUUAGUGGAAGCGUCUGGAAAGGCGCGCGAUACAGGGUGACAGCCCCGUACACAAAAAUGCACAUGCUGUGAGCUCGAUGAGUAGGGCGGGACACGUGGUAUCCUGUCUGAAUAUGGGGGGACCAUCCUCCAAGGCUAAAUACUCCUGACUGACCGAUAGUGAACCAGUACCGUGAGGGAAAGGCGAAAAGAACCCCGGCGAGGGGAGUGAAAAAGAACCUGAAACCGUGUACGUACAAGCAGUGGGAGCACGCUUAGGCGUGUGACUGCGUACCUUUUGUAUAAUGGGUCAGCGACUUAUAUUCUGUAGCAAGGUUAACCGAAUAGGGGAGCCGAAGGGAAACCGAGUCUUAACUGGGCGUUAAGUUGCAGGGUAUAGACCCGAAACCCGGUGAUCUAGCCAUGGGCAGGUUGAAGGUUGGGUAACACUAACUGGAGGACCGAACCGACUAAUGUUGAAAAAUUAGCGGAUGACUUGUGGCUGGGGGUGAAAGGCCAAUCAAACCGGGAGAUAGCUGGUUCUCCCCGAAAGCUAUUUAGGUAGCGCCUCGUGAAUUCAUCUCCGGGGGUAGAGCACUGUUUCGGCAAGGGGGUCAUCCCGACUUACCAACCCGAUGCAAACUGCGAAUACCGGAGAAUGUUAUCACGGGAGACACACGGCGGGUGCUAACGUCCGUCGUGAAGAGGGAAACAACCCAGACCGCCAGCUAAGGUCCCAAAGUCAUGGUUAAGUGGGAAACGAUGUGGGAAGGCCCAGACAGCCAGGAUGUUGGCUUAGAAGCAGCCAUCAUUUAAAGAAAGCGUAAUAGCUCACUGGUCGAGUCGGCCUGCGCGGAAGAUGUAACGGGGCUAAACCAUGCACCGAAGCUGCGGCAGCGACACUAUGUGUUGUUGGGUAGGGGAGCGUUCUGUAAGCCUGUGAAGGUGUGCUGUGAGGCAUGCUGGAGGUAUCAGAAGUGCGAAUGCUGACAUAAGUAACGAUAAAGCGGGUGAAAAGCCCGCUCGCCGGAAGACCAAGGGUUCCUGUCCAACGUUAAUCGGGGCAGGGUGAGUCGACCCCUAAGGCGAGGCCGAAAGGCGUAGUCGAUGGGAAACAGGUUAAUAUUCCUGUACUUGGUGUUACUGCGAAGGGGGGACGGAGAAGGCUAUGUUGGCCGGGCGACGGUUGUCCCGGUUUAAGCGUGUAGGCUGGUUUUCCAGGCAAAUCCGGAAAAUCAAGGCUGAGGCGUGAUGACGAGGCACUACGGUGCUGAAGCAACAAAUGCCCUGCUUCCAGGAAAAGCCUCUAAGCAUCAGGUAACAUCAAAUCGUACCCCAAACCGACACAGGUGGUCAGGUAGAGAAUACCAAGGCGCUUGAGAGAACUCGGGUGAAGGAACUAGGCAAAAUGGUGCCGUAACUUCGGGAGAAGGCACGCUGAUAUGUAGGUGAAGUCCCUCGCGGAUGGAGCUGAAAUCAGUCGAAGAUACCAGCUGGCUGCAACUGUUUAUUAAAAACACAGCACUGUGCAAACACGAAAGUGGACGUAUACGGUGUGACGCCUGCCCGGUGCCGGAAGGUUAAUUGAUGGGGUCAGCGCAAGCGAAGCUCUUGAUCGAAGCCCCGGUAAACGGCGGCCGUAACUAUAACGGUCCUAAGGUAGCGAAAUUCCUUGUCGGGUAAGUUCCGACCUGCACGAAUGGCGUAAUGAUGGCCAGGCUGUCUCCACCCGAGACUCAGUGAAAUUGAACUCGCUGUGAAGAUGCAGUGUACCCGCGGCAAGACGGAAAGACCCCGUGAACCUUUACUAUAGCUUGACACUGAACAUUGAGCCUUGAUGUGUAGGAUAGGUGGGAGGCUUGGAAGUGUGGACGCCAGUCUGCAUGGAGCCGACCUUGAAAUACCACCCUUUAAUGUUUGAUGUUCUAACGUUGACCCGUAAUCCGGGUUGCGGACAGUGUCUGGUGGGUAGUUUGACUGGGGCGGUCUCCUCCUAAAGAGUAACGGAGGAGCACGAAGGUUGGCUAAUCCUGGUCGGACAUCAGGAGGUUAGUGCAAUGGCAUAAGCCAGCUUGACUGCGAGCGUGACGGCGCGAGCAGGUGCGAAAGCAGGUCAUAGUGAUCCGGUGGUUCUGAAUGGAAGGGCCAUCGCUCAACGGAUAAAAGGUACUCCGGGGAUAACAGGCUGAUACCGCCCAAGAGUUCAUAUCGACGGCGGUGUUUGGCACCUCGAUGUCGGCUCAUCACAUCCUGGGGCUGAAGUAGGUCCCAAGGGUAUGGCUGUUCGCCAUUUAAAGUGGUACGCGAGCUGGGUUUAGAACGUCGUGAGACAGUUCGGUCCCUAUCUGCCGUGGGCGCUGGAGAACUGAGGGGGGCUGCUCCUAGUACGAGAGGACCGGAGUGGACGCAUCACUGGUGUUCGGGUUGUCAUGCCAAUGGCACUGCCCGGUAGCUAAAUGCGGAAGAGAUAAGUGCUGAAAGCAUCUAAGCACGAAACUUGCCCCGAGAUGAGUUCUCCCUGACUCCUUGAGAGUCCUGAAGGAACGUUGAAGACGACGACGUUGAUAGGCCGGGUGUGUAAGCGCAGCGAUGCGUUGAGCUAACCGGUACUAAUGAACCGUGAGGCUUAACCUU